UCCAGACUCCUACGGGAGGCAGCAGUGGGGGAUAUUGCACAAUGGGGGGAACCCUGAUGCAGCGACGCCGCGUGGGUGAAGGAGCGUUUCGGCGCGUAAAGCCCUAUCGGCAGGGAAGAAGGAGGACGGUACCUGACUAAGAAGCCCCGGCUAACUACGUGCCAGCAGCCGCGGUAAUACGUAGGGGGCAAGCGUUAUCCGGAUUUACUGGGUGUAAAGGGAGCGUAGACGGCAUGGCAAGUCAGAUGUGAAAGCCCGGGGCUCAACCCCGGGACUGCAUUUGAAACUGUCAGGCUGGAGUGCAGGAGAGGUAAGUGGAAUUCCUAGUGUAGCGGUGAAAUGCGUAGAUAUUAGGAGGAACACCAGUGGCGAAGGCGGCCUGCUGGACUGCGACUGACGUUGAGGCCCGAAAGCGUGGGGAGCAAACAGGAUUAGAUACCCCGGUAAUC
rnacentral:rRNA from 1 species